GGGCCGUUAGCUCAUCUGGUAGAGCGCACCCUUCGCAUGGGUGAGGCGGCCGGUUCGAUUCCGGCACGGUCCACCA
rnacentral:tRNA from 1 species